rnacentral:tRNA from 1 species
GGGUGAGUCGCUCAGUUGGCUAGGUCAUCUGGUUUAAACCCAGGGCAUCGCGAAUUCGAGUUUCGCCUCACCCGCCA